GUUAGGAAUCUUCCACAAUGGGGGCAACCCUGAUGGAGCAACACCGCGUGCUGGAUGAAGGCCUUCGGGUCGUAAACAGCUUUUGUAUACGAAGAAUAUGACGGUAAUAUACGAAUAAGGUUCGGCUAACUACGUGCCAGCAGCCGCGGUCAUACGUAGGACCCAAGCGUUAUCCGGAGUGACUGGGCGUAAAGAGUUGCGUAGGCGGCUUAUUAAGCGAGUAGUGAAAUCUGGUGGCUCAACCAUCAACACAUUGCUCGAACUGAUAGGCUUGAGAAUGGUAGAGGUAGUUGGAAUUUCUUGUGUAGGAGUGAAAUCCGUAGAUAUAAGAAGGAACACCAAUGGCGUAGGCAGACUACUGGACCAUUUCUGACGCUGAGGCACGAAAGCGUGGGGAGCGAACCGGAUUAGAUACCCUAGUAGUCC
rnacentral:rRNA from 1 species